rnacentral:rRNA from 1 species
UACGGAGGGUGCUAGCGUUGCUCGGAAUGACUGGGCGUAAAGGGCGCGUAGGCGGUUCAUCCAGUCAGAUGUGAAAUUCCCGGGCUUAACCUGGGAACUGCAUUGGUGACUGGCAGGCUUUGAGUGUGGCAGAGGGAGGUAGAAUUCCACGUGUAGCAGUGAAAUGCGUAGAGAUGUGGAGGAAUACCGAUGGCGAAGGCAGCCUCCUGGGCCAACACUGACGCUCAUGCACGAAAGCGUGGGGAGCAAACAGG